rnacentral:rRNA from 1 species
GCGUCCUCCCACUAGUAGUGUGACAGUAUGCAUGACUCUUGGCAACGGAUAUCUAGGCUCUCGCGUCGAUGAAGAACGUAGCGAAAUGCGAUACUUGGUGUGAAUUGCAGAAUCCCGUGAACCAUCGAGUCUUUGAACGCAAGUUGCGCCCWAGACCGUCAGGUC